rnacentral:rRNA from 1 species
UCCCUUAGUAGCGGCGAGCGAACAGGGAAGAGCCCAGCGCCGAAUUCCGCGUCUCAAAGGGCGUUUGGAACAUGUGGCGUUUAGGAGGAAUCUCUCCGAGGGCAGACGGUGUCGCAAGUCCCCCUGAACGGGGCUGUGAUCCAGAGCGGGUGCGAGGCCCAUAGCUGGUACCGUCUCCUUUGGGUGUCCCCUCCUUGGAGUCGGGUUGCUUGGGAGUGCAGCCCUAAUUGGGUGGUAAACUCCACCUAAGGCUAAAUACGUCCGUGAGACCGAUAGCAAACAAGUACCGUGAGGGAAAGUUGCAAAGAACUUUGAAGAGAGAGUUCAAGAGUACGUGAAACCGCUCAGAGGCAAACGGGUGGGCCCACGAAAGCCGAAGGCGGGGGGAUUCAGUCGAGAGGACGGUGGGGCAGGACUGGCUGGUUGGACGGACCGUGCCAGGCCGGGUCAGUUCCCGAGAUCUGCCGCCUUUCGACGCAUUUCCCCCUGCUUAGUAGGACGCCGCAACCGGUUGGCGCUGCAGCCAUAAGGGAGAGUAAAUGGAAGGUAGCCAGUGAGUUCUUCUUCGGAGGCGCGAGCUGGUCCUAAGCCGACUCUCCUGGUGCUUGUGGCCCGACCGUGGUCGUGAGUCCCUCAACGGGAUGUCGCCGAGCCCUCUGACUGGAGCGGGAGAAGUGGCAGGCUGCUUUCCGCGGAAAAAAUCGAUCGCUUCACGCGUGCAGUGGGCGAUCUCCGGAGGUAGCUGCUGGUGCGUUUUUCUCCUGCGCUGGGCACAGGCAGUUGGCGGCGAGUAGGUCGGUCACCCACCCGACCCGUCUUGAAACACGGACCAAGGAGUCUAACAUGUGCGCGAGUCAUUGGGUCUUGAACAAGCCCAAAGGCGCAAUGAAAGUGAAGACCAGCACUGAAGCUGGUGGAGUUGGGAAACUGCGUCACUGAAGAUGCAGUUGCACCAACGGCCCGUCCCGUCCGCAUCGUCGGUGGGGCGGAGCGAGAGCGUACACGUUGGGACCCGAAAGAUGGUGAACUAUGCCUGGGCAGGACGAAGCCAGAGGAAACUCUGGUGGAGGUCCG